UGGCCCCAGCAGAGCAUGGGCUGGGAUGCAGGGCUGCCAGGUGGGCGAGCGCUGCUGACCUUUAGGACCUUGUCAGAACAGCAAGGUUUCCAGCCAGGACAAAAUUCUGGCUCUGGAAAACUGAGGGUAAAUCCGGGGGCAGGAGAGCUUGAUUUCAUCUGAGCAGAUCCCCAAGUUCAAGUUCACAACAGCUUUGAAAUUUGGAUUUCUGGGGAGUGGAAAGUUCACCCCCUCCCAGGAGGAGACUGAUAAGCAGCCCUGGCAGGAAAGCUGCAUGGUAGGUAUCUCUUCCGAAAUGGGCUCGAAUUACUCCCUGACCGGCAGCUAUGACCAUGGUCAGGCAAAGCAUGAACUCUGCAUUUGGACAGGCUAGCAUGCAGCCAUUACCUCAUCUGAAGAGCUGCACACAAAAUAAAUAUGUCUAGUACACUGAUGCAAAAAUAAUGUCAGUUAGAAAUCAGGAAGCCCCUUCUGCCUCAUGACUAUUUUCUCCCAGCACCUUGGAGCUGGGACACAGCCAUCGCAUGGUUUGCCUGAACCUGCAUGCGGCGCAGGGAGGCCUGGGGCGAUGUUGAGUUGCCCUUGUUUGUACUUGUUUUACUGAUCUGCCCCUAUUUGAUGGGUUUGUUUUCCGUUUUCAGAAUAGCGCAGGUUCAAAGCAACAGGUGAACCAUUUCUGGCUCUCCCCCUCUUCACCAAAGGUAGUGCAAGAUGUCUAAUGAAAAAAAGAGCAAACAUUAAGCUAAAGGCACAUGGUCUUGCUAACCAACGCUAACUAGCCUUAGAAGACUUAUUACUGUUUUUCUGCUUUUUACCCCCAAAAUAAAGUAUUCUGAGCUGGAACUACUGUGAGGCAUGUUUAGAGCAAGAUAAAGCUCCAGCCAAGAUUCUGCCCUCUGUUAAAGGUAUUUUUGUCCAGGAAAUACAUUGGGAAUAAUUGGUGGGUGAGGGAAACCAAAGGAAAUAAUUAAAAAUAGGUGAGGAAACUGUCUUUUUCCCUUUUUUUUUUCUCCCUACUUUCUGCACCAGAGAAAGCACACAAAACCAAUUACAUUCAUUCUAAUUUUGGAAAAAGUGGGAUGUUUAAGGCCAAAACAAAAAAGGAAGAAUUCAUCCUGGAAUAACACUCUCCAGAGCCUGCACUGGCAAGGUACUAAUGUGAUUCCCGGCUGGGUGAAAUGAUGUUGCCUUUGGCCUUAAGCCCCAUGGCACACCAAAGGCAUGAAACUAUGGCUCAUCUCAGAUAUCUUUUAUUGCGGCUUAGGGCCAAAAAGGCAACAAUAAUGACAUAUUUGCACAGCACAUUUCAUAAUCCACCAGGGUUGCAACCAAGCGGGUUGUGUGCAGCUGUGCCCUUCUCAUUCAAAUUCCUAAGUACCAAAUUAACAUGCUGGAUUGUGUUUGUUAGAGAAGACACUAAGUGGCCUGUCUUUCCUCCUCGUUUCUUGACAAUGCAUCCUGCUGCAAGUCCUCCUGAGAGCUGCUGCUGUUGAUUUCUAUCCUCCUAGGGCUGAAACAACAUUUUAAUACCAGGCAGUGUAUACCCAGUGCAAACCUGCCCUUGCUCAGGUCCCCAGCUGGAGGAAGAGAUGUAUCUGUUUGAAACCCAGAAAGACAAAACCAUUCCUUCUCUCAGUUGAUCAUCUCCGAACUGCUCUCCCUGGCAGCUGGGCAUGAGGCUACUUUAUCCGGAAUUAAUGUCUGCUCUUCAAAAAAUCACCCAUCGCUUAUUUUUUUGCCUCCUUGCUGCUUAGCCUAACAUUUUCCUGAAUAGCCAGGAAUAAAGGGGCAUCGCGAGGUUUUUUAAGUUCAUAGAGCUAUGUGUGAUUAACAAUAGCCAAGAAUCAGCAUUAUGUUUAAGUGUUUAUGUUAUGUUUAAGCAUUAUGCUUAAACAUGUCUAAUAAAUAUAAUGGAGAGAGAGAGAAAUCUGAAGGCUUUUCUACAUCUGAAACAGAUAAUUCAAGGGUCAUAAAAAAUUCACCGCCAUAAAAAAUGUGAGUCUCUGGA